CUUCCAGUAGCACCUUAGAGACCAACUAAGUUUGUUAUUGGUAUGAGCUUUCAUGUGCAUGGACACGAAAGCUCAUACCAAUAACAAACUUAGUUGGUCUCUAAGGUGCUACUGGAAG